rnacentral:rRNA from 1 species
GAUGAACGCUGGCGGCGUGCCUAAUACAUGCAAGUCGAGCGAACAGAUGAGGAGCUUGCUCCUCUGACGUUAGCGGCGGACGGGUGAGUAAUACGUGGAUAACCUACCUAUAAGACUGGGAUAACUUCGGGAAACCGGAGCUAAUACCGGAUAAUAUAUUGAACCGCAUGGUUCAUUAGUGAAAGACGGUUUUGCUGUCACUUAUAGAUGGAUCCGCGCCGCAUUAGCUAGUUGGUAAGGUAACGGCUUACCAAGGCAACGAUGCGUAGCCGACCUGAGAGGAUGAUCGGCCACACUGGAACUGAGACACGGUCCAGACUCCUACGGGAGGCAGCAGUAGGGAAUCUUCCGCAAAGGGCGAAAGCCUGACGGAGCAACGCCGCGUGAGUGAUGAAGGUCUUCGGAUCGUAAAACUCUGUUAGUAGGGAAGAACAAAUGUGUAAGUAACUAUGCACGUCUUGACGGUACCUAAUCAGAAAGCCACGGCUAACUACGUG